rnacentral:lncRNA from 1 species
UAAAUCUAAUUGUAAUUAAGAUCUAACUAAUUUAGUGAUAAAAAUAAAAUAAAAUUUACAGAUAAACUCUAAAAAUUUAUAAAAUUUUAUCUAUAUAUCCGGAAGCAUGUGUAGUAAUGUCCGAAAACAUAUUUUCGUUGCGGAAUUAACCGAGAACCAUCCAAUGAUAUGUCCGAAAUUUCUUCCCCUGCGAGUACGACGAUCAUGGCAAAAAUUGACGAAAAUUUUUUCAACACUCAAUAAAUAAAUAAAGAGAAUAUGAAAAUGAGUGAGAAAAGAGGAAAAUAUCUAUUCUUUUCAUAAUUUUACUUUCAAUGUCUGUUAUAUCUUGUCAGAGCAGAAAGAGAAUAUAUAGAGGAUGAGGGAAAGG